UACGUAGGGUCCGAGCGUUGUCCGGAUUUAUUGGGCGUAAAGAGCUCGUAGGCGGUUCCGUAAGUCAGAUGUGAAAACUCAGGGCUCAACCCGGAGACGCCAUCUGAUACUGCGGUGACUGGAGUCUGGUAGGGGAACACGGAAUUCCUGGUGUAGCGGUGAAAUGCGCAGAUAUCAGGAGGAACACCGAUGGCGAAGGCAGUGUUCUGGGCCAGUACUGACGCUGAGGAGCGAAAGCUAGGGGAGCAAACAGG
rnacentral:rRNA from 1 species